AGUGAACGCUGGCGGCGUGCUUAACACAUGCAAGUCGAACGAGAACGGAUUAUAGCUUGCUAUAAUUGUCAGCUAAGUGGCGCACGGGUGAGUAGUAUAAAGAUAACCUGCCCUCUAGAAAGGAAUAACAGUUGGAAACGACUGCUAAUGCCCUAUAUGCCUUUAAUACAUAAGUAUGCAAGGGAAACGCUUUAGUGCUAGAGGAUGGGUCUGUAUGGUAUCAGCUUGUUGGUGAGGUAAUGGCUCACCAAGGCUAUGACGCCUAACUGGUUUGAGAGGAUGAUCAGCCACACUGGAACUGAGACACGGUCCAGACUCCUACGGGAGGCAGCAGUGGGGAAUAUUGCACAAUGGACGAAAGUCUGAUGCAGCAACGCCGCGUGGAGGAUGACACAUUUCGGUGCGUAAACUCCUUUUAUAUAGGAAGAUAAUGACGGUACUAUAUGAAUAAGCACCGGCUAACUCCGUGCCAGCAGCCGCCGUAAGAC
rnacentral:rRNA from 1 species